rnacentral:rRNA from 1 species
UGGGGAAUAUUGCACAAUGGGGAAAGCCCUGAUGCAGCGACGCCGCGUGAAGGAAGAAGUAUCUCGGUAUGUAAACUUCUAUCAGCAGGGAAGAUAAUGACGGUACCUGACUAAGAAGCCCCGGCUAAUUACGUGCCAGCAGCCGCGGUAAUACGUAGGGGGCAAGCGUUAUCCGGAUUUACUGGGUGUAAAGGGAGCGUAGACGGCAUAGCAAGCCCGGAGUGAAAGCCCGGGGGCCCAACCCCGGGAGCUGCUCUGGAAACUGAUUAAGCUUGAGUGCGGGAGGGGCAGGCGGAAUUCCUGGUGUAGCGGUGAAAUGCGUAGAUAUCAGGAGGAACACCGGCGGCGAAGGCGGCCUGCUGGACCGUAAACUGACGUUGAGGCUCGAAAGCGUGGGGAGCAAACAGGAUUAGAUACC